GUUCGACCUUAGAGGCAACAGUCCCUUCACCAAGGAACUCUUUUUUCAAAAAGAUUGCCUUAAGGCUGACAAACACCUUUUGCUCAUCAGCUAGGUAGAAAUAAUAUCCUUUGGUCUCUUUUGGGUACCCUAUGAAAUAACACUUGUCAGACCUAGAUCCAAGCUUGUCCGUAAUUAAACGUUUAACAUAAGUCGGACACCCCAAAACCCUA
rnacentral:lncRNA from 1 species